GCUUUCGUGGUGUAGUGGUCAGCACGCUCGAUGCGUAACCAAGACGCUCGUGGUUCAAUUCCCGGUGAAGGUG
rnacentral:tRNA from 1 species